rnacentral:rRNA from 1 species
UACGUAGGGUGCGAGCGUUAAUCGGAAUUACUGGGCGUAAAGCGUGCGCAGGCGGUUCGUUGUGUCGGUGGUGAAAUCCCCGGGCUUAACCUGGGAAUGGCCAUGGAAACUGGCGAACUGGAGUGUGGCAGAGGGGGGGUGGAAUUCCGCGUGUAGCAGUGAAAUGCGUAGAGAUGUGGAGGAACACCGAUGGCGAAGGCAGCCUUCUGGGCCAACACUGACGCUCAUGCACGAAAGCGUGGGGAGCAAACAGG